AUUUUCUUUCUAAGCAAUUUUAGGCACUCACACAUCUGCCUUGUUACAUUUGCUUUCUGCCUAGAAGGAUGGCUGCCCGUGGCGCAGUGACUGUGGGCUGGUUCCAAAUAGUGAAUUCAGAAGGUUCCUGCGAGGAUGAUGAGAAGCGUCUGGCAGGAGUCAUCACUCCUGCAAGAUUCUGCGAUGCCCAAGGCCAGCCCCCAAAGAGGGACAGCCGGGCCUGGAGAUACCAGCUCCACUACAGACCCUCAGGCACGAGCACGUCCUGCUGGCGCCUUGACAGUCCACUGCCCAGACCCAGAGGGGUCUGCACACACGCGACCAGAUGGAAACUUCCAGUUUCAGCCACAACCUCCCAAGGGAGCACUUGGGAGAACCCCAGGCAUACACCGCUUGGGUACUUUUGUGCCUGUCAUCAUUGAGCCCAGAGAACAGGGGCUGUCACAGACCUGAUCACAUGGGGACGGUCACGCCUGCCGUUCAGGCUGUGCCCAUGGACUAGCAGGAGAGAGAGUGCUAAGGGGACACACCCGUACACACUGAGUUGCCCAGCAACACGGGAUGUCAGGCCCAGGGACACACACCCUCGCUGGCAUGACCCACUCAGACUGUUUCCACAGAGGCGGACUCGCACAGAGCAGCUGCCCCAGGCGACUCUCUGGCCCUGCUGGGAAAAGCCUUCGUUCAGAGCCAGCUGUGCCAAUAAAGAUCCUGGGCAUCCACACCCCAGAAUGAUGACCAGUUAGACAGGGCCGAGGCGAGCCCCCCAAACUGCCAGUCACUCCUCGGUGACACACAAACACUCCUCUGAGUGGCCAGUCUAGACUCCUCACCUCCUUUUGUUCCCUCUCGGAAAACCUUUGGCUUUUCCAUUUUAAUCAGCCAGUGACCACACAAUCUAUUUCUGUAACUUCUCGGCAUUCGCCAGAUUGUUCUUUUGAAAUGUCUACAGUAAGUUACAAAGAAUGCCUCUGACCUUUGUUUUCAAAUUCGUCGACGCAAACAGUCAACACACAAUGUGAAACUUAGAGGACGAUUUUCAAUUUUCACAGACAAACCGGGCUUGAGUUUCUUUCAACUUUUGGAUGGAGAAGAAAGGCAGCUUUUCAGUGAUUCUUAAAAUUCCGACUCGGUAAACAGGAAAAGAGCAACAACUCUGCCGUCUUUGAAAGUGCAGCGUGAACGCCAGGAGCAAGACCCCUCUGAGCAGCACCUCUCACGGCUUAGGGACGGGUAAACUGAGGACUCAACCUCGGAAUGGUUUCCCACUCGGACCCUAUCUGUGAUUAGGCCAAACUUCCGGCAUGGUGUUUAGACUGCUGUCUAUUGCACAGCUGUGCCUCACUGGGGUCCAAGGACAGCCCCCUUGGGUGGGUUCUGUCCCCUUCUCAGAUGGUUCAGGCUCCGUGUUGGUUUCCGGAUGAGAUAAUCUGGUCCCCUGGCCGUGGCAGGCCUCUCUUUCGUCCCGUCACCACACAGGACCAACUUGGAGUCAUCCUCCCACCUACACGCUGCGUGUGGCCAGGCGCCCCCUGCCAUGCAGGUCCUCCCUCCCUGCCUGUCCCUUCCCACCCUCUGACAGGAAUUCCAGUGUGAAUGUGGAAUGGCCACCUUUAGCGAACUGGAACCUGGACUACACAGCCCGUCUCCAGAGAUUGUCACCCCCGCCCCCUAAAUUCCUUUGUACUCUUUUCUUUAAAGAUUGGCAUCUGAGCUAACAACCGUUGCCAAUCUUCUUUUUUUUUUUUUUUUCUGCUUUAUCUCCCCAACACCCCCUGUACAUAGUUGUAAAUCUUAGUUGCAGGUCCUUCUAGUUGUGGGAUGUGGGACGCCGCUUCAACGUGGCCUGAAGAGCGGUGCCAUGUCCGCGCCCGGGAUCCGAACCCUGGGCCACCGCAGCGGAGCACGCAAACUUAACCACUGGGCCACCGAGCCGGCCCCCCUUUCUAUUCUUACUGUUUGUACCUCAGAACCUCACUCAAGACAGAAAUAAGCCAAAAAAACCUACUGGAUUUCAUUUUUUUAAUAAAAAAUUUCUGUAUGUCAAAAACCACAAACAAAUUUAAAGACAAACUUGGAAAAUAAAUUUUCCAGACAAAGGUGGCAACAGAGGCAAAUAUCCUUAAUGUACAAAGAGCUUGUAAAGUAUAGGGCACCAAAGAGAGAGAUGGAGGAUGUCAGCAGGUAGAUUAAUCAAAAUAAUGACCAAAUGGUUAAUAAGAGAAGAAAAUCCUCAACCUCCUUAAUACUCAAAGCAAAGCAAAAAUAAAACCAUUUGAGAUAACAUUUCACCUUAUUACCUAACAGACCAGCAAAUGAAUACCCACUGCUGGGCACAGGCCUUCUUGCGAAUUACUUCUAGGAAUGCACAAUAACUGGAAAAGCCUUUUUUGGAGGAAAAUUAAGCCUUAAAAUUCCCAGUACCCUAUGACCUAUCUAUUCCACCUCUGGAAGUGAUCUGGAAGGAAUCUUGAAGGUGUCCAAAAUGUAUAGCUACAAAAAUGCUUGUGGCAGCACUGUUGCUAAAACAGAAAGAAAAAAAUGCAUUUAUAAUUUUUUCCUCUAUCUUUUUUUUUGUUUUGAGGAAGCUUAGUCCUGAGCUAAGUGCUGCCAAUCCUCCUCUUUUUUUGCUGAGGAAGACUGGCCCUGAGCUAACAUCCGUGCCCAUCUUCCUCUACUUUAUAUGUGGGAUUACUGCACAGCAUGGCUUGACAAGCGGUGCCACAUCCGUACCCAGGAUCCGAACCGGCGAACCCUGGGCCACCUAAGCAGAAAGCGUGCACAAAACCGCUGCACCACCAGGCUGGCCGCAUCCUCUUUCUUGAUUGUAUACCCAAUUCUCCUGGGCCUGUCUUAUGUUAUAUUUAUUUAAAUUCUGAACACACUGUGCCAGAACGUUAUCUUGUGUUUUGGUACCUUAAUAAAAAAUGCAGUUGAUAAGUAAUAGUCUGAGCUGGGGUGCGUCUGAGGGUUGACUCAGCCCCUCCUGGGUCCUGUCACCCAUGGAAAGGGCCUCCCGCUCUGUCUUCUGCUCUGAGGUGUAGGGACCUCGGAUUGAGUGGGGCCAGGAGACGGGCGGACAUCGUGUGGAGAGAAGCUGUCAGAGGAGCAGGAGCCAGGCCCUUGGGAAGUAGCUCGGAUGUCGGGUUCCAGGUAAUGGAGCCGUGAUGCUGGGGCCAGAUUGUCUGUGGUGAGAAGUUCUUUGUAGGGGGAUAGGGUCAGCAGAUUGCAACAGGGCCUCACUGGCUCUGCCUCCCCCAUCCCCCACCUUGCUGUCACCAUGGCGCUGGGCUGUCCCAGGCCUUCCCAGGGAGACGGUCUCUCGGAAAGGAGAGGUGACCGGGAGAAUACUCUUUUAUGGGAAAUUUGCCACAUCACCUGAGCGUUCCCCUGUGAGUUCCCUGAGUCCUCUCCUCCUGCUGUCCUCCUGGAGCUCCCUAGUGUGGCCCAGGGCGCCCCAGCCAUCCUCUCUCCUGCAGGACAGCCGCAUCCUCAAGGUGGCCGUGAAAGCAAAUUUACCCUGGCCGAGGGUUCCACCUGCCAUUUCCCGUCAUACCCUAACUCGGAACCUUCCCUGAAAUACGGCUGCCCCAGGACCCUCUGGUGACAACUCCCCCUCUGGGUCGAGGGCUUAUCUUUCUCAUCACCCUUUGUGCAUCCCCAUUUCCUCUGAUUCUUCUAAAAUGUCUCUUGGCCGUGCCAUUUCUUUUCCACUCUCGUCCCACUCCUCCUGCCCUUCUCCCCUGGGGCCCACGCUGUCUCAACAGUUGCGUGGCCAGUCAGAACUAUGGUCGUGCUGAGUACAACCCAGUUUCCUUCAAAGUGACAUAGCCACUUCCAUUCUGCCCUGGAGGUGUUCACACUUUAUUUUUAGCCAUAGAUGCAGGAUUUUGGCUGCCCCCAUGCAAAACAUAAGUGCUGAGCAGCCCUGGUUGGAGGGGGUGUGAGGCCUGGAGCCCUGCUCACAUGGCAAUCCCCCCAUCCCCAGCAGAAUCCUGGUGACCCAUCAGAAUCAUUGGGGAAACUUAAACAAAUGGGAAUUCCAGAGCCUGGGGCAGGCCUCCUGACUCAGAAUCUGUGUGUGUGGCGUGGGGGUGGGGGUGGAGUCCGAGCUUUGAAACAAGCUUCCCAGAGGCCCUGAAGCAGCUGGUCGGCAUCUCCUCAGCUGCCAGUUCCUCUCCAACAGGGGCCUCACUCUGGCCAUGGGGGUCCUGCCACCUUCAAGACCUGCCAGGCCUUCCCUUCACCCCCUCAGCUCUUCCCCCUAGGUACCCUCAUCACCUGGUCAAAUUGCACCCCAGCCCACCCCUUCGGUGAGUCCUACACCUGCCUGACCCGUCUCUGGACAACUCUAGUGCCUACUGUCUGUGCUGCUCAUGGGGUCUAGUGUGUUUAUUUAUUUGUUUUUUGCAGGGAAGGAUUCGCCCUGAGCUAACAUCUGUUGCCAAGCUUCCUCUUUUUUUUUUCCCCCCAAGCCCCCCAGUGCACAGUUGUAUAUCUUAGUUGUGAGUCCGUCUAGUUCUUUGGUGUGAGCCACCGCCUCAGCAUGGCUACUGACAGACGAGUGGUGUGGUUCUGCCACCCGGCAGCUUCCUAAUGUGUUUAUUUUCAAUUUCUCAAGUAGUGUAGGAAUACGUCGUUAUUGGAAAACAGCUCAGGUGAUGCAGACAGAGUGAAGGCCCUGGACCCUCCCGUCGUCCACUCCCAUACUGCGGCCACGUGGGGCCGGCGGGUGUCCUCCCAGACCCGUGUCCAUGUCUUUCCCACCCAGUGUCCAGAUCUGGAAAGAGAAGAACUGUCUUUCGUCCCGCCUGAGACUGCUCUUCUGCCCGUGCCGUGUUCUGGGCCCUGCAGCCUCCCCCACAGCCACCCGCCUCUCUCCAGCUUCUCUCCCCUCCACAGCCCCCUCCCUGGGGCCUCUGUGUGUGCCUAUGUGCACACACACACACAUCUACACAGGUGUUUCUUUUCUUGAAAAUCUCUCUUUCUGGAUCCUUCCAUGCCUUUUAAUCCCCUCUCCUGUCAGUAUCCUUCCUUUUAAGUCCAACUUCUUUGACAAAUGGGCUCGCUUGGCUGAGUACUUCGCACCUGCAACAGCUCAGGUCUCAGCUGCCUCCCUCCUGCCCAGUCCCCCGGGGAGGGCAUGGACCCAAGUCCGGGGGGGAGGGGGGAGGCUCCUGUUAGCACAGCGCUGUUGUCUCCCCCACCAACCCCGUGGCAGAAGUGCUCUGGCCUUGAGGAGGCCUAGCCAUCUAACAUCUGGAGCCAACGUUGUCUCCACUCCCAGGCAAAGCUCCUUGCCAGUGGCUGGCCCCAAGAAGUCCACGCGGCUCCUUCAGGAGGCGCAUGAGGGUCCGGGAGCGUGGAAGGGGAGCUCCUGGUGCAGUGUCUCAAGGUCAUUUCUGCAGUCACCCUCAGACUUCUGUGAGCUUCUGGCAGCUUGACCUACCAGGGAGGGAGGGACCAGCUCCAGAGGUUCUCCUGGGGUGCACCUCACCUACCCCAACAGCCUGGAUAUCUUCUGACAACCAGGGCUUCCAGAACCCCAGGGCCCACCUGAGAUGGGCACACAGCUCGGCCUCUUCAAUACAGGGGCUAGUUGAGAGAAGCGUUGCCAAACAGCCUCCUCUGAAGGACGAGGAACCGGAGACGGAACUUAGGCCUUGCCACUGUUCUCCUAACAAUAUCAUAAAAUAAAAGGAAAAAAAUUUUAAAUUUUGAAACAUUCCAACAAAGUACUGUAUUAGUUUCCUCUUGCUGCUAUCCCAAGUUACCACGAAUUUAGUGACUUAAAACCACAUAGAUUUGUUCUCUUACGCUUCUGGAGGUGAGAAGUCUAAAGGCAUGGUGUUGGUAGGGCUGUUCCUUCUGGAAUCUUCAAGGGAGAAUCUGUUUUCUUGCCUUUUCCAGCUUCUAGGAACCGUCUGCAUUCCUCGGCUUGUGGCCCCUUCUUCCAUCUUCAAAGCUCAUCCCUCCAACCUCACUUCCAUUGUCACAUGUUCUUUCUCUGACUCUGACCCUCCGGGCUCCUUAUCUUCUAAGGACCCUUGUGAUUACAUUGAGCCCACUGGGAUAAUUCAAGAUAAUCUCCCGUUUCAGGAUCCUUAACUUAAUCCCACCUGCAAAGUCCCUUUUACCACAGAAGGUAGCAUGUUCAUAGGUUCUAGGGAUUAGGACAUGGGGGGACAUCUUUGGGGGCUGUUAUUCAGCCAACCAUGAGUAUAAAAUGUAAUAUGGGUAGACGUCUGUAUCUGCCACCAAGAUUAAACAGAUGCUAAUAUUUUGCCUUAUUUUCUUCAGGUUUUUUCCCCCAGAAAUAAAGCUUUAUAGAAAUAGCUAAUGCCCUAUAUCGCUUUUCCCUCUCUUUCUCCUCCAAAGUAACCACUUCCCGAGGUUGGUGAAAAUAACCCCCACGUGUUUCUGUUUGCUCCAGAUUAUAAAUGCAUUUCUAAACAGAACAGUACUAUUUCUUUACGUUUUGAACCUUGAUGUAAAAGGAAUCACUGUGCGUACCACUUUGCAACCUGCUUUUUUAACUCAAUAUGGUUUUGAGAUUAUACAUGUUGAUACAUGAAGAUCUAGUUCAUUCAUUUUAACUGCAAGAUACAGUACUUCCGAUGAGCAAGCCAGAGUUCACUUUGUCCUUUUGCUGAAGACAGAUUGUUUUCACUUUUUUUUUUGCUAUUACAGACAGUGCUUCAAUAAAUAUCUUUGUACUUGUUUUCUCGAACACCUGUGCCAAAGACCUCAGUGGGAGCCGCCCUGCUGGGUGUGGGAUGUGCACACCUUCAGAAUUAUUAGGUGUUGCCUACUGGUCCAAGAGGACUUCCCAACUACAAUGUUUAAAAGCAUCCAUUUUCCCACAUCCUCACCAGCAUCUGGUAUUUUCAGAUUUGCUGUUUUUUCAAAAUGAUUUCCUUACAUGUUUUCCAGUCAAUCUGUUCUGCUCCCAAUUUUUUCUUGAACGUUUAUACAACUGGGACCCUUCCUCCAUCUUGACCCAGAGUUUGUCAAUCCACCCUGGACCUUCCGUGUUCUGCAUGGUACCCUCACCUGAUUCCCUCCCUAGGGAGCUCCCCACUCCAGACGGCCCUCUGCCCAUGCUGAGUUCCAUUUGUGCCAGCCCUAGAAGAGCUGCCCCCUGUAGGGUUCGGAGGCUCUCUGCCCUCCCCACAGAAGCUGUGGGACGUGCAGCGAUUCUCCCGCUGGGAGGUGAAGACUUCUGCAUUACAACCCUCCAGCCUAGAUGAACGAGGCACGUCCAACUCUGACGACGAGAGUAAAUCCACCCUAGAAUUAUUCACAAUAAAUGGUUGUGUUUCUCCUGUCCCCAAGGGUGUUCUGGAACAUACACCUGCCAAUGAACUAAAAACCGUAUCCAGAACGUGGCAGAUGGAGGACUAAGUCCAGAGACUGUGUGUGACCUUUCUUCCCAGGGCAAGCCUCCUUUUUUUAACAGCCUUUAGACACCAAACCUUCUUCUCUUCUAGGUUUUUAAACCCCGCUUUAAGGUCCAGUUAAAGUGGUGGGCUCACUCUCUUGAGUUCUCCCAGCACAGGGGGUCCUCUCUGAGUUAUCUGGCCCUCAUAAUGAUCGUUUUUCCUCCUGUUGGCCCUUCAACAAAUGGAAACGGCAUUGUCCUCACGUGUCUGUGUUAAGCUGAACAGAUUGCUCAGCUAUCUGGUUCCGACCUGAUGGCCUUUUGAACUUUGUAUAUGCCUGGCAGCUGUCCCUGCCCAUUUUGUAUAUUCCCAUGUGCGCACCAGCCAGGGCUUUGCCCAGGGGUGCUGCUGGCAGAGUCAUGCUUAACCUCCUGCUGUGAUAAACUAUUGGUUUGUGGUUCUGAUGCUCAACAUUGUGCCCCCUUGUCUGACCCAUCCUGGGAUUAAGACAGGGAGAGGUGGGGCCGGCCUGGUGGCACAGCAGUUAAGUUUACACGUUCUGCUUCUCAGCGGCCCGGGGUUCGCCGGUUUGGAUCAUGCUGUGGUAGGCAUCCCACGUAUAAAGUAGAGGAAGAUGGGCAUGGAUGUUAGCUUAGGGCCAGUCUUCCUCAGCAAAAAGAGGAGGAUUGGCAGUAGUUAGCUCAGGGCUAAUCUUCCUCAAAAAAAAAAAAAAAAAAAAGACAGGGAGAGGAGGGGUUCACAGUGACCAGCAUGGCAUGAGGCUCCUUUGGGCCCUAUGUGUUACCUUCUGUCAUCUAAAGGAUAUGCAAAACUCCCUUUCAACUGAAUUCCCUUUCCAGAGAAUAACCCAGACCAACAGAGCCCAGGGGACACCAGCCCUGACUGUCCUCCUCCUCACAGGCUACUGGAAGCUCAAAAUGCCUGAGGUGCCAGGAGGCAGAGGGACAAGGAAACCACAGAAUAAGUCACCCAGAAACCCAGGGAGUUGAAAUCCUCUUCUCAAGCGCUUGUUUGCUAAAAACAAAUGUUUCCUAAUGGAACUCACACGGAGGCCUGGGCAGCCACCAAGGCGAAUAAUUUGGCGGAUGUCGGGGCUGGGGUGUCCGCGACUUCUGAAGAGGACCGACGAAGCUCACAGCCACAUGCCUGCACAUGACAUCUCUCACUGGGCUCCUCUCUCCAGGCUUUGUGGAUUCCUGAAUUCUCUCUGGCCGGGAAAUCUGAUCAAUCAUCUGAAAAGUUUUAAAAGGAGCUAGGUGAAGAUUUUUUCCCCCUGGCAGAACAGUUUAAAUCCUGCCGUAAAUUAAGGGUUCGCUUAACUCCUAAUUACUGCAUUAGAAAUUAAGAUAUUGUUUCUGUAAGACUUCUCAAACCAAAGUUCUUAUUCUUCAAAAAUGACAUCCUGCUUAUUAGCUUCUUAAAAAUCACUCACCACGGGGUUUACUGAUGGCUCUUGACAGUUUGCUGCCAUACACUUCUCAGCGACUGGAGGACACUCUCCUAAUCUAUAGUCUUACAUGAGGAGCAGAUGGGUUGAUACAUCCGUUCCAUGGUCGUGCUUGGCUUCAUCUUACUGAGAAGUUGGUUAAGUACAAUGUAAGAGGCAAGGUGUGGGUGUCACGUGAUGCCAUCUGUGUGUGUCUGACUGUGUGUCUAAUGAUGGACACGUAAUUGUACCGUGGUGAGCUGGAGCGGGCUCUCAUCACAAGCUCCUUGUGUGCAUUUCUUCUCGACUCCGCAUUCACUGACAUCAAGUCAGCAGCGUGAAAUCAGCCACACUAGGAGUAUUUACACCACAAAAAUUGGCAAACGCUACCAACCAGGGUGGGGUGGGGCGAGUGCUUAGAAAACGUCUGGAAGAAACAAGAAACACCAAAAAUAAUUACCCAUGCAGAGUGAAACUGGAGAGCAAGGGGAUUGGAGAGAAGUUUUUUUUUGCUUUUUGAAUUUUUUAAAAUCACGUUUGUAACUGUUUUUUAAAAAGAGAACUUUCUUUCUUUUUUAGGAACAAAGACUUCAGCAGCCUUUGUUAAUCCCACGCCAACUGUUAGCUGGAAACUGCCUGCGGCCCACCUGCCUGACUGGCCCACCUGCCUGACGAGGAGGAGAUCAGAGCCUGGAGAGGUGUCCUGAAGCCCCAGUGGGGCAACAUCCUGGGACGGGAGCUGGAGGCUGGGCAGAGGUGGGGCCCCGAGGACACACUGAGGGCAGCAGCAGGCAGUCCUUCUAGAACUUCCUGCCAAGUGGGAGAGGGGAGCCAAAGUAACGCCAGGCCUCCAGCCAAGAUGUCAGGCCAAAAUUCGGGUCACCAAAUCCGAAGAAUCAAACAGAAAAAUGGGUAUGAAGGUAGAAUACCAAAAAUGGAGCAGCCCUGGGGAGGGCGGGGGAGGUGGAGACCUGGAGCUUAAAUUAAAGGGGGACAUCAGUUCUGCCCAGGAGGGAAGGGGGGCAGACUGGGGCAGUGAGGACACAAGCAGAAACAGGUUCCUCGGCACUGGGGAAAAGCCGCCCCACGACUCCCCAGGGAGGCCGUAGUCCGCAGUAAACAACUACCGAGGAAUGAAGCAGAACUCCAGAUGGAUUCCAGGAAGGAACCUCGUCACGCUCCCGAAAGGACUCCUAGAGGCCCCGGUCAGUGUCUGUGGGAGCAGGGUGGGGACUGCCACUGGAGAAAUUUGGAGUGGUUUGGAAAUGCUGGGCAGAGAUAAUGGAGGUCCCAGGUGCAGAGAUGGGCCCCAGCCAGGAAAAUCCAUCCAAGAUGCGGCAAGAGGCAGGAUCUGGAGGGCAGCCCUGAGAAAGGCUGGCAGGACCCCACUGCUGGGGAACCUGGGCAGCAUUCCAUCUCUCCCUUGAGGGACGCUUGGGCAGGAGGCUCUCCAGGAAACUGAACACAGCAGGCCAUGUGUUGGCCAGGGACGGCCAGGAAGUUGGGGGGGCAGUGGGAGGAUGGAGCGGGCUGCUCCCCAUGGCAACAGCCAAGCGCCACAGUCUGUGCCCGCCAGGGCCCUCAGACACUUCCUAACACCACCUGAUAGGCGGGCAGCACUCUGCCAUCUCGUCAAGUGGAGCUGCCACUAGUUACAAGGGAAUUGAAUAUUUCCUCUUAGGAACACCUAGGGGUGGUGCCAAGCAACAAGGACUAAUAGGACCACAUCUUGGCUGCCUUUCUUUUUAACUUGCUGCUGAAGUCCUUUCAUUUUUAGAUAAAUGAGAUGCAUAAUUCUCCUAUCACUGGCACAGGAUGUUCCCUAUCUCCUUCUGUACUGUUGACACCUGAUCGACCUUAAAAUGCUGCCGAACCUAUUGAUGAAUUCCAGUCCUCCCCAAAAAGCCCAUAUCAGUUUCAGCUAUCUCAUCCCCAAGAGCCUGUGGAGAGGCCAGCAGCCCAUCGUGAGAUAAUCAGAGGGGGGCCUGCCCAUCCUCAGUCUUUCACUUUGUCAACACUGAGACUCGUGGCUCCUGUGUGCUGUGCUGAGCUCCAAGGACGCAGAGAACGCUGGUCCCACGUGGAGGAGAGCAUGGGUGCAAGACUGUGGCACCACCACCAGGCUGUAGGUCCCAAGGAAGCCCUGUGUUGUAUUUGUAACUGUAUCUCUUACACCUAACAGGAGGCCCACACCUAGUAGGUGCUCAAUAAAAAAUUAGAAAUAAAUAAUACAACACGCUCCCUUUGAUAACAAAGAGUUGGGAGAUGGGGAGGAAAUGGUUAAUUCUGCUAGGGUAUUAAAGAAACCUUCACCGAAGAGGCCACAGGUCCAAGCUGGUCCAUGAAAUUGUAGGAGUCAACGGGCAGAGAAGGGAGAAGAGCAGUCCAGGAGGAGCGAAUGGGAGGGUGUGAUGUGGCAAGAGGUCAAGCAGGAAGAAAGGCAGGAUGAGGAGGGACCUUGAACUGCAGGCAGGUCCAGGCCCCACAGAUGCUAACUCUGUUCAUAGAUUCUACUGUUCACGUGACAAAUUCUUCUUAGAAUCACGAGCCAAACUGCCUCUUUAGAAACAUUAAUUUCCUUUUGUCAAGUGGUGAAGCCAUGCUGUGUUUCCUUUCUCACUUUGACUGCCAGGAAGCUCCUGAAGUACUGGGUUCCUUAUAAUUUUUUGUAUCCCCUAACAGUCCCACGCAGGACUUUCCACCCAAUAGAUCCUGUUUUAGUUCUCUGUUGCUGCAUAAAAAUAUACCAGCGAAUGUAGAAGCUUCAAAUAAUACUCAUUUAUUAGCUCACAGAAGUGUGGGCAAGGCUUGACUGGGUCUUCUGCAAGCCUUCAAUCAAGAUGUCAGCCAGGGCUGGGGUCUCAUCUGAGGCUUGACUGGGGAAAGAGCUGCUUGCAAGCUGUGUGGUUGUUGGCAGAAUUCAGUCCCUUGCAGAUGCCAGGCAGAGGCCUCAGUUUCUUACUUGGUGUCAGCUGACCCUUAGUAUCUUACCCUUUUAACAGGCAGCCCACAACAUGACAGCUUGCUGCUUCAAAGGUGCAAGGGAGGAGGUGUCCUUGCAAGACUGCCUUUGCAGUCUCGUGUAGGGGUAAUCAUGGCCACACAGUCGCAUACAUCUGUCACCUGUGCCUAUUCUAUUGGUUAGAACAAGUCCCACCCACGCUCAGGGAGGGGUUUACACAGGGCGUGAAGACCAGCCGAAGGAUCAUGGGGCCACCUCCGAGUCUGUCAGCCCCAGGUCCUCAUCAGAUAUUAACCAUUAGUUAACUGAACUACUCUGUUUGGCAAUUAAGGGCAUCACUGUUAUGUAGACACACAUAUUAUCUCCCCAAGAAGACAGGGAAGUGAGCUCUCUUCCUGCUCAGAACGCCCCCCCCGCCCCCACAGCAUCCACCACAAUGCUGGGCACUGACCAGCUGAUAAAUAUGAAACGAAGAAAUGUCAGAGGAUUCACAGUACUGCUGGAAGGACCUGGGGCUUUCUAUCAUCAAGGUGAAUCUCUGAUUGUCAUAAAUUUCUGGUUUGACACAUGUAAUUAAAAAAAAAAACCCAUAAAACAAUCCUAACAGCCACGAAGUGGGACCUACAUCAGACAAGACCAUUACACAUGUGGCCCUUCUCUAGCAAAAUGUCUCCUGACUCCCAGCCCCUAUUGUUUCCUCCCACGUUACAGAUGAGCUAUGCACAUUAAUAGUUUCCCGAUUCUGCCAGUGCAGCAUUUCACUAGCACAGUCUGAGAACCUGGGCUCUGGAGCCAGGCAGCCUGGGUUGGCAUCAAGCUUAGCCACUUACUGUGUGAUCUCAGACAAGCUGCUUAACUUCUAAUAAUGAUAGCAAAUGCUUGGUUAGUAUUUGCCAUGUGCCAGGCUCUUGACAUAUAUUAAAUUCAUAUAAAUUCAUUUAACCCAUCUAACCACCCUGGGAGGUAGGCAGCAUUAUUAGCCCCAUUUUACAGAAGAGAAAACUGAGGGAGAAUGGUCAAGACUGGGCUUAAGGCUCUCAGCCUGAGCAAGAACAUGGAGAUAGAAGGGUAAAUGGUGGACAAGACAACUGAGGACAGAGGAACAGCAAACAGGAAGCUAGUGCCAGUGGGUUCUCCUUCUAACCUGCUGUCCCCACGGCCGACCCUGGCCAAGGUGGACAGGUAGAAACCGUGCGCUUUACCAUUUGAACUGCUUGUCUGGACUAAGAGCUUAAAUGUGACUUGCAGGUCUGUGCAGGGUGUGGGGAGCAGAAAGGAGAAGCCAGAAUGCUAUCACUUUGGGAACUAGAUUUCGUCCUGCUUACAGCCACCUCACCCUGAUCUUUUUAGGUGGGUCUGUGGACCCUGCUUGUCUGACCUGCCAGUCAAUAUUCAGUGGUGGUACUGGGUGAGUCGCUGUACACACUAAGGGUCUGUUGCCAUGGUGUGGUGGGGACUGGUGUUGGAGGACAGUCGGUAUGUCAGCGAAAGUUCCCCUUAUGUGAGGGGCUGUUGAGGGGCCAGAGGUUCUAUCUCAGCUUCUGGAACCUUCCACCAACUCCAAAAGGGCAAAGGGCAUCGGAGUUAGCCUGUGAGCACGCUGAACACAGGGAACAAGGUUUCCUCUACUGGGAUGGCUGUGGAGGUGGUGGUGGUGGUGAUGGGAGGUGUUCAGCCUCUGAGACCAGAGAGGAGGGUUGAGAGACGAGGGGGCCGCGACACAGGGACAAAGCGGGCACAGCCGACAAAGACUCGCCUGCAGGAAGGGCCCUUUCAGAACAGUUGGGCUUAGGGAACAAGAUAAUGCACCACGGAGAGGGGAGAGGAGCUGGCACUCAAAGAGCUCUAGGGACGGUCCCUUCCUCCUCCCCAGCCGGACAGCUCUGGGCCUCCGUGGAUCUGGGCGUCCCUUACCCUGCACCCUCCUCCCACCCUCACCUCCUGACCGUUAGCCCUCUGAGGCCACCUCGUGACCAGCUGUGGGGAGGGGACCCGCCCGAGAUUCCAAAAACCCCUCAGAGCCAGACACCCUCUUAAUCCACGACCCCUUCCUCUGCCCAGACGCCCCCUUCACCCUUGUAACCCAGCCUGGGGGCCCCCCUGCGAGUCUGGCUUCUCUGGUAGGACUCAGCAAGCCUCACGGAGCAAACCAGCGCUUCCGACACUUUUCCCGCCAACAUGGCCGGGUAAUAGCUGGGAGGCUCCGCUGGUGCGCAGAGACACACGCAAACUGAACCCAGCGGCGGACACACAGUCCCCGAGAGGCACACAGGGAAUCCUGUGCCUGCCCGGGGAGUGACCUGGGGCUCCGGGCCUGCCAUCACUCCCUCGAAUAUUCCGCGCCCCACCCCCCAUCCCGCCACGACCCUGCAUCUCCCCACUGCCCUUUUCUGCCUGCCUAUCUCCCCUUCCUUCCUGACAGCGGGAAGGGGGUUCCACGAGGACAGAGGAGCCCCCCGCGCUCUGGCGCUGACUGUCCGCAAGUGCGCCCACUUUCGCAUGGGGACGGGAGCGUUUCUGCCCGGGAACUGCCUGCGCGCGGAGGACACACGGUGAUCUCCAGGCUGUGGCGGGCGGUGCGCGCGCGCCUGGCUUCCCCUCUGCGGUGGGGACCAGGCUUCACACUGCCUGGACUGCGCCACCUGCCCUUUGAGAGAAACGUGAGGCACUUCCACACCCUGGAAGCGGAGGCGGCCCAGCACCCGGCCCCUAACGUGAAGCCCCGGGAGGGAAUCAGGGCGCCAAAAGCGCCCCACGAAGCGCGGAGGCGCACCGACCGGGUGUCGGUCAACUUUGCGCACAUAUGUGGGAAUUAGGGGCCGUAGGCCUUGGCAGCGGGGGCAGGAGGGACGGAGCGGUGCGACUGGAGAGGGCCCGGCUCGCCAAAGGGGAUCUCGGAGUCCUGCGGGAGGCGCCACCCGGGCCCAGACGCAGGAGGCCGGGGGCGGGGAGGCGGAUCCGUCAAGCUCCAGUUGAGCCCUGGAAAAACCCCGGCGCGCAGGGGAGAGGCGGGCCAGCUCGCAAGCACUGCCGGGGACGGCGGGAACAAAGGCGGCCCGCGGCCGGAUGCAGUCAUGGAAAAACCCGUUGGGGCGCCGCGGCGGGGGCGGCAGGGGAGGGGCGGCGCGCGCCCGGCAGCCAUGCCACCCUCACCGGCCGGCCUGGGCGGGGCUGCUCCGUCCCUAGCCCCGGAGCGCUCCUCGCCGGCGAAGGGGGAGGCCCAGGAAAACAGAAAAUGCCGGGCGGGGCGGGGAGGCCUGGGGACCGAGAACCGGUAACCCCCUUGCUCCGAUGCUGCGCGCCAGCCUGCCCGCCGUGCACAUCCCAUGCUCUCGGCUGCGAGGGGGAGGGUGGCCCCGGCUGGUACACGCCAGACACACGCGGCGCUGCACACGGCCACUUGGCAGCUACAGCAGCCGGUGGUGACCAGCCCGUAGGGGGCGCGCACAGACGCAGGCAAUGGCGCGGACGCGUGUGCGGCGGCGCACACGCUCCUGCACACACAUGAUCACUUACGUGCACGUGCACCCAGUCACGCGAGCUGCCCAUAGCUCCCAGGGCUAGAUACAGAAGCUAGGGGCGGGGGCCUUAGAAGAAGCUGCGGUUAGGGUGCCCCCCUCCCCAUUUUACAGGUGCGGAGACUGGGCCUCCUGGGACCUAACGUGCCAGGUCCCGCCCCAGGGCUGGAGUUUCCCUCCCAUGCAGGACGCUGCCCGCCCUGUCCUGGUCUUAUGAACUGCCUGGAGACGGGGAGGCGUCACCACGGAAUUUUUUUUUUUCUGUGGAAAAGGAAAGUGUUGGCGCAAGUUGGACCCAGUGACUCCUUACGCCUUUUCCAGUUCUGACUUAUUAUGAAGAAGGAACUGUACCCAGAUCCCAUAAAAGGAGUUGGUGGGAGCUGAGAACAAGACUUGGUCCCUGGUUUAGCCCCAACCACAGGCUCUUCCUGGUUCAAAUGUCCCCUUGUUUAUUUGUGCUGCUGCCUGCCCGUGGGGGGUCAGGAGGCAAAGCCUGAAGCCGUGGUGUCCCUGGGGUGAAGAAGGGAUGUAGAGUAGGACAUGACUCCGCGGACCCAGAGCCAGCCUCUGGGAGCAGAGGGGACCCCAGGCUCUGCCCUAAGGGGGAGCUGCUGGGUUGGGGUGGCAGGUCUGGCUUCCUAAGCAGGAGCCCACGACUUCAAGAAGCUUCAAGUUCGAGAAGAGGCCUUUUUGUGAGGCCUGGCUGUUGGAAUUGUUGUGGAAAUACAGUUGUGAUAGAGGGACUGGUCACCAAUCAGAAUAAAGAUUCAAGAGAAGCAGGGGCGCCAGCGACACGACAGGGUCCAAUGAGCUGGCAUUUACUCCUGGUCCCCUUGGGAACUGAGUUUGGAAUCAAAUUACCCAGCCCUGCUUCUCCCUAGCUUCCUGGUUUGGGGAUCUUAUCCAUCAUCUUUGGGCCUCAAAUUCCUCAUCUGUAAAAUGGGAACAAGAGCUCCUCCACAGGGGUGUUUUGGGGAUUGAAAGUGGGUAUAAAUCCCCCCUUCCAUCCUGCCGCCCCUCCUUUUCCUCUUCUCGAAGUCCCCGGUGCUUGCGCGUUAGGAGUCCUUCCAAGUGCUGGUUUCGCUGUGAGCAGGUGGGAGGUCCAGUGGGACGAAGGCUAGGGAGCAGCGCCCCCUGGUGGUCUGUAUCAGGAGGCUCGCUCCUCCGUGAAGACCCGCCCCGGUUAACCUGGUUAGCUCCUGCUGGCGUCUGGCAAGUUCGAGUCUCCAGGGGCCGAUCGUGGAGCUCUACUCAGGGCGGCCUUUCCUUCUGACUCAGUUUCCCCCUCGAGCAAGCAGGGAGAAUGCUGCUCCCCCACAGCAGCUUCUCCUCUGCUCUCUCACGGCCCAGCUUUAACCAGCUUCUUUCAUUUCUGCCCCGGAGGAAUCCGCGCACUUGGCGUUUACACUGCGCUUUAUAGCUUGCAAAUCACUUUGACACACAUUACUGGUCCCUGAGGUGUGCUGUUUCUGGGUGGUGACGGCGCUCGAUGGAUAGAGGAUCGUGUUUUAGAGCGUGGCUCCAGCACGGUGCGCUGGCUUGGAUCCUGCCGCCUUCAUCCAGCGUGUAACCAGGGCGACAUUCAAAACAUUGAAUAACCAGUAGGACAGGCAGCGACCAAUCCGAACAGACCCUGCCCUAAACGCCAGGUACAGCCAAAUGCCUGUAUACUUGCUGAACAUUCUGGAAUAACCUCAACCUCACUGGGCCUUGGUUUCUCUGUCUGCAGGACAGGAAUGGUGAGCCCAAUAGUACCACCAUAUAGGGCUGUCCUGAAGACCAAAUUAGUUAAUGCACAGAAAAGACUGGGAAAUCAGUCUAGCCCAUAGAAAGCACCAGAUGAGUUAGCUUUAUUACUGGUCCUGCCUCCUCUCAGACUCAGUGACUCACGAUGAUUGCCACUUUUAAGAGAAACUCUCCAAGUGAGCCCACUGUAUGUACCUAAGGCUGCCUCCUGCCUCCACGCCUCCUUGUCUGGCCCUCCAGUUAUCUUACUCUCUAGGACUGCUUCUCAAACUUUACCAUGCGCCCAGAUUUCUGGGGGAUCUUGUUAAAUUGCAGAUUCUGAUUAAGGCGUUCUGCAUGGGGCUUGGGAUUCUACAAUCCCUCCAAGCUCCCAGGCAGGGCUGACGCCGGUCUGAGAAGCAAGACUCCAGAUCAGUGCAGAAGCAGAAGUGGCAGCUGAUGGAUCUGUGAAUGUUUAUUGAGCACCCACUCAGUGCAGGGCAGUCCGAGGAUCCAGCCAGUCUGAGGGCUGGCCUCCAGCCUCGAGCAGCAGACAGGCCAUUGCACAAACACAAGUUAACACUAGCAGUCAGGUCAAGGACAAACAUGUGCUAGACAGUAGGUGGUCCAUUCUCUGCCCAGUAGCCAGAGUGAGGCUCUAAACAGUAAAGAUCCCAGAACCGCCCUGCUUAAAGCCAUCCAAUGGCUCCCUCCUCACUCAAAAGAGAAGCCGGAUUCUUCUGGAUUCUUCUUCAAGGCCCUGCACCAUCUGGCCCCGCCUCUGACCUCAUCUCCCAUCACUCAGCUUCAUUCUAGGCUCACCUUUUGUUCCCUUGAACCAACACCUCAACUUCUAUCCUACCUGACAGCCUUUGAACUUAGCUGGUUAAUGCUUGUCCUUCAAACUGGCGAAUGCCUGGCUUCGUAUUCAGCCUCUCACUGCUUCCCGGAGACCGUCCUUGACCUAAAGGGAGUUUGCUCUAAAGUAGCUGACCUCAGCCCAG
rnacentral:lncRNA from 1 species